rnacentral:rRNA from 1 species
CCUACGGGAGGCAGCAGUAGGGAAUCUUUCACCAUGGGCGAAAGCCUGAUGGAGCAACGCCGCGUGCAGGCUGAAGGCCUUCGGGUUGUAAACUGCUUUUAUCAGCGAGAAAUAUGAUGGUAACUUAUGAAUAAGGAUAGGCUAACUACGUGCCAGCAACCGCGGUCAUACGUAGGAUCCGAGCAUUAUCCGGAGUGACUGGGUGUAAAGAGUUGCGUAGGUGGCAUAAUAAGUAGCUAGUGAAAUCUGGUGGCUCAACCAUUCAGACUAUUAGCUAAACUGUUAAGCUCGAGACCGUUAGGGGUAACUGGAAUUUCUAGUGUAGGAGUGAAAUCCGUAGAUAUUAGAAGGAACACCAAUAGCGUAGGCAGGUUGCUGGGACGGUUCUGACGCUAAGGCACGAAAGCGUAGGGAGCAAACGGGAUUAGAUACCCCUGUAGUC